GUAAUAUCACGGCGUUAUAUAUUGUCCACCUGUUUUGGAUACCCGAUAUCAAUAUUGCACUUUCAAUCCGGUUUGGGUUGUAACAAUUCAGCGUUUAUCAGGUUGGGCUAACUGAAGCCUGCCUGACACAAGCGAUAAGGAGCAUGCUGAUAUAUCAAUAUACCAUCUGCACCUACUGUUGAAAGAGACAAUGCGUCCUGAUAUCCGGCAUGUCUGUCCAUGCGAGUUGCCGCAACUUGCAGUUCGAUGUGUUUAACCAGCACUGAGGUUAACUGUAAAUCAAUAUUGGUAAAGAUGUGCAUUAAGGACCGCCGGAUGCAGUCCAUGCCUGAAGACGCAGACCAGAUGCGGUUACCGCUCGCGCUUCUUUUGCACCACAAGAGCACAUCAAUAGUGGAAUCCUGGUACAAGCGGCUCUUCCUCCCUGUCAACCCAUCCCUGUCCACUUGCUUAUCGUGAGCCUGUAUGAAAGGCUUCUGUGUAUUGGGUUGGCGGUGACCGGCUGUGGUGCUGCAGGGGCCUCAGGACUCCUGAUUGAAAAACUUAGAAGCCGCACGACCAAAUGGGGUAGCGCCACUAAGCCGUUCGUGGCAAUGAUUCGUGUGAAGCCUGUGUUAUGUGACCCCUGCAACCGGCGAGGACAACAAGCCGCAACCCACCCAGGGCUGACCAAGAUGUAUUACAAGCCUGAGUCCAUUUUGGGUUUGCUUUUUGUCUUGUAGGGCCUCGCCCAUUUCCCGUCGUGGAGAGGUUCCUCAGGUUCCUCCCUAGUUCCCGUCCAGCCAGCACAAUGCCGGAAUG
rnacentral:lncRNA from 1 species